CGAGCCUGAGACCUGCAGGCUGGCCCCCAGGCUGGCGGGAUGCUGGUCAGGACUAGGCAGCGAGUCUCUCAGGGCUGGAGCCCAGAUGAUAUGGCGUUUACGACUGAGCUGGGGAGUUCCACGGUGGACCGUUCCAGCAGAGCAGUGUUUUCAGAGCUUUGUCUUGAGGUUCUCACAGCCUAAAGGAGUGGAGCUGAAGUAAAUCCUGAGGUGGAACACCGGUAAACCCUGGAAUGAUGCUGUAAAGCCAGCAUACUAUAAACUCUGGAGUGGAGCUACCGUAAACCUCAGCAUGGAACUGCUGGAAACCCCACGGACUGGAAACCCCACGGGUGGAUGCUGUAAACCCCGGAGUGAAGAGCAUCCCUCUAUCAAGAGCCAUUCCCUUCAACCAAGCACACAGAUUUGAGAGGGACAAACAUGGAGCCACAAGGGAGGAAAGAGACACCAGUUUAGCAAACCAGAAGAGUUGAACCCAUCUUGUGAUGGUUUGAAAAUGCUUGGCCCACGGACUGGCACUAUUUGGAGGUGUGGCUUUGGAGUGGGUGUGGCCUUGUUAGAGUGGGUGUGGCCUUGUUGAAAGAAAUGCAUCACCAUGGGAGUGGGCUUUGAGACCUUCCUCCUAGCCAUGUGGGAACAAGUCUUCUCUUGUUUGCCUUUGGAACAAGGCCUAGAACUCUCAGCUCCUCCAGCACCAUGCCUGCCUGGGUGCUGCCAUGCUCCCACCUUGAUGAUAAUGAACUGAACCUCAGAAUCUGUAAGCCAGCCCUAAUUAAAUGUUGUCCUUGUAAGAGUUGCCUUGGUCAUGGUGUCUGUUCACAGCAGUAAACCCUAGCUAAGACACACCUGGUGACCUAUAGGAUAGAAGGUGUUGUAGCUCGUACCCUGUAUCAAAAGUUAUUGCCACAUUUUGUAUUUCUCCUCUGAUAUGUGAUUUGUACUAAGUGUUAGUAUUGGGUUGACUUAUGUUUCAGAAAAUCCAAAGAAUGGUUUGAGUAUUGUUUUAUUGUUAUUAGUAGUAUUAGUUUCCAAACAAGGUUUCUCUGUGUAGCCCUGUCUGUUCUAGAACUUCUGUGUACUAGGCUGACCUCAAACUCAGAGACCCAUCAGCCCCUGCCUCUGAGUGCUGGAAUUAAAGGUGCGAUUCACCACA